CAAGAAGAGACCCUAACCGGUCCUCUCAACCCUGCCCAUCGUACCUUUUCUUGUUGUUCCCUCGGCGGCUGCCUCGCGGGCCCGCCGGCGGGAAGACCAAACAAACCCUUUGCAAACAAGCAUAUCGAAAUCUCUGAUCAAAACAUGAAUUGUCA
rnacentral:misc_RNA from 1 species